GCCACGGUGGUCUAGCGGUCAGAACGCUGGCCUUGUAAUCCUGGGGUCUAGGGUUCGAUUCCCGGCGGUGCCC
rfam:Zootermopsis nevadensis contig22940, whole genome shotgun sequence.